GUCUUCCCACUGCUUUAUCACAAGAUUUCACUGGGUAGGAAUCAAGGUCUUCCCACUGAUCUACUGAGUUCAGUCCAAAAUCUACUGAGCCCCAGGUGCUGCGCAGCAAUGGUCAGAGGGCAGGAGGAGGGCAGUAUUCACAAGUGGCACACCCAGUUCUAUGAGAUCUUGGGGAAUCUGUCAUACCUCACCUUUUCCCCUCACUCUACCCAUUUCUUGGAGGAUCUUGAGUCCUCCCUUGGCUUUGGCCACCAUAUGACCACAGAUCAGUCAGCUUCUGACUCAACAAGCUGUCUCUCCAGCCUGACUGACUUCUCUGUACUUCAAAGUACAGGAGGUCCCCAGCAGUGCUAAGUCCACAAAUUCAAAGCUAAAGGUCCCCUCUUACCUGCUCAGCAUCCUGCAUCCCUAUCUCAGGCCCUAGAACUCCCACCCAACACCUAUGUGUCAUCCUGGGGCCCCAUCCCCCCAAAACUCAGCCAACCUAUUGCCAAGUCCUGUCCAUUUUCCUCCUAAACAUGUCUCAAAUCCUGUACUUCUCCUCUUCCCUACAUCUUCUGUCCCAGAUCAGGCCCUAACCUCUGCAACCUCCUUUCAGUCUCUCUGUCUCCAGUUUUAUUUCCCACUAAUCCAUCCUCCUUGCAACCAGUAUGUGUAUCCCCACCCCCAACCCUAAAACCCUUUAGUGGUUCCCCUCUGUCUGCAGGGGUGAAGUCUAAGUUCCUGAAUGAGGCUCCCUUUGGUACAGCCCUUCCACUUUUAUGGCCUCCUCUCUAUCCAUUCCCUGCCUCAAACCUUUUACUGCACAGAGAUUGGCCUGAGACCAGCCUUCUCUGUGAGACCUAUGCAGUGC
rnacentral:lncRNA from 1 species